rnacentral:rRNA from 1 species
UACGUAGGGCGCAAGCGUUGUCCGGAAUUAUUGGGCGUAAAGAGCUCGUAGGUGGUGUGUCGCGUCUGCCGUGAAAGCCCGGGCUUAACUCCGGGUCUGCGGUGGAUACGGGGCAGACUAGAGGCAGGUAGGGGAGAACGGAAUUCCCGGUGUAGCGGUGAAAUGCGCAGAUAUCAGGAGGAACACCGGUGGCGAAGGCGGGUCUCUGGGCCGAUAUUGACGCUGAGGAGCGAAAGCGUGGGGAGCGAACAGG